CGUCUUCACAGCAUUACACAGCCAUUAAACAGGAUGAAGUCAUGACGUCUUCACAGCCAUUAAACAGGAUGAGGUCAUGAUGUCUUCACAGCCAUUAAACAGGAUGAGGUCAUGACGUCUUCACAGCAUUACACAGCUAUUAAACAGGAUGAGGUCAUGACGUCUUCACAGCAUUACACAGCCAUUAAACAGGAUGCAGUCAUUAAGAGAGAGCAGGGGAGUUAGUUUCGGGGGCGAUGGGUGGGUGGCUUCCAUUGUGAUUAGGUGAUAUACUGGUUUGACCAAAGAAACUAACAGGAAAAUGUUCCAGAGAUUGUAGCUGAAUUAGUAAAUGACCUUGAAAUAGAAGUGCUACUCUGACUGAUCAUCUAGCUUUCUAUAAAUAACUGACGAUCUGUAUUGAAUGUAUACAUUUAAAUAAAUGAUCUAAACCAAAACAAAUCUCUGUGAGGCCCUAAUAACACAAGGACCACUAACAGACAAGUCACUGUGUUUUGCCAAUAUCUGCUUGUUAGAUUGUAUAAUACCACAUCUGUUGGUUUUGCAGGUAGCUAAUAUGUGUGAUGGUUACGAAAGCUGGUGAGUAGGUUUGCACAAAUUCCAAAAUUUUCCAGAAAUCCUGGUUGGAAGAUUCCCAGAAUCAGGAAGGAAUUCUCCAACAAGGAUUUCUGGAAGACCUGGUCAUUUUGGGAACCCUAAGAGCGCCUGAAAUGGAGGCUCUGCCAGACUGGCAGCUCAGCUGCUGGGUAUUUCCACAAACUGUCCCUCCGUCCCUCUGUCCACCAACCAUCUGUCCUAAAGGAAAGUCUAAGGUCUAACAUCUAACUUGUCUGCCUUCACCAGCCUCAUGCACACGUCAUAAACGCUCAGCUCAACACCGGGGAGCAGAAUGUGAAGAGACAACACUGCUUACUGGUCAUGCUACUCAAAUCAAAGCACAUGUUUAAUUGUCACAUGCGAUAAAAUACAACAAGUGUAGUAGACCUUACAGUGAAAUGCUUACUGACAAGGCCUUAACCAACAAUGCAGUUCAAGAAAUAUAGUUGAAAAAAUAUUUACUAAAUAAACUCAAGUAAAUAAUUAAAUAAUAAGUAACACAAUAAAAUACCAAUAAUGAGUCUACAGGGGGUACCGUGUCAACUUGCGGGGGGUACAAGUUAGUGGAGGUAAUUUGAACAUGUAGGUAAAGUGACUAUGCAUAGACAACAAACAGCGAGUAGCAGCAGUGUAAAAACAAAAGGGGGAGGGGGGGCAUUUGAUUAACUGCUCAGCAGUCUUAUGGCUUGGGGAUAGAAGCUGUUAGGAGCCUUUUGGACCAAGACUUGGCACGCUCAGGUACCGCUUAACGUGCAAUAGCAGACUAGCACGUAAUACACUUGUUCUAGACUAGACUAGCAUGUAAAACACUGGUUCUAGACUAGACUAGCAUGUAAUACACUGGUUCCAGACUAGCAUGUAAUACACUGGUUCUAGACUAGCACGUAAUACACUGAUUCUAGACUAGCAUGUAAUACACUGGUUCUAGACUAGCAUGUAAUACACUGGUUCUAGACUAGACUAGCACGUAAUACACUGGUUCUAAACUAGACUAGCAAGUAAUACACUGGUUCUAGACUAGCAUGUAAUACACUGGUUCUAGACUAGGCUAGCAUGUAAUACACUGGUUCUAGACUAGAAUAGCAUGUAAUAGACUGGUUCUAGACUAGACUAGCAUGUAAUACACUGGUUAUAGACUAGACUAGCAUGUAAUACACUGGUUCUAGACUAGUACGUAAUACACUGGUUCUAGACUAGGCUAGCACGUAAUAUACUGGUUCUAGACUAGGCUAGCACGUAAUACACUGGUUCUAGACUAGACUAGCACGUAAUACAUUGGUUCUAGACUAGGCUAGCGCGUAAUACACUGGUUCUAAACUAGACUAGCACGUAAUACACUGGUUCUAGACUAGACUAGCGCGUAAUACACUGGUUCUAGACUAGGCUAGCACAUAAUACACUGGUUCUAGACUAGGCUAGCGCUUAAUACACUGGUUCAAGACUAGGCUAGCGUGUAACACACUGGUUCUGGACUAGACUAGCACGUAAUACACUGGUUCUAGACUAGGCUUGCACAUAAUACACUGGUUCUGAACUAGACUAAUGCGUAAUACACUGGUUCUAGACUAGCGUGUAAUACACAGGUUCUAGACUAGACUAGCACAUAAUACACUGGUUCUAGACUAGAGUGUAAUACACUGGUUCUAGAGUAGACUAGCACAUAAUACACUGGUUCUAGACUAGAGUGUAAUACACUGGUUCUAGACUAGACUGGGACAUAAUACACUGGUUUUAGACUAGACUAGCACGUAAUACACUGGUUCUAGACUAGGCUAGCACGUAAUACACUGGUUCUAGACUAGCGUGUAAUACACAGGUUCUAGACUAGACUAGCAUGUAAUACACUGGUUCUAGACUAGAGUGUAAUACACUGGUUCUAGACUAGACUAGCACAUAAUACACUGGUUCUAGACUAGGCUAGCGCUUAAUACAAUGGUUCAAGACUAGGCUAGCGUGUAACACACUGGUUCUGGACUAGACUAACACGUAAUACACUGGUUCUAGACUAGGCUUGCACAUAAUACACUGGUUCUGAACUAGACUAGUGCGUAAUACACUGGUUCUAGACUAGCGUGUAAUACACAGGUUCUAGACUAGACUAGCACAUAAUACACUGGUUCUAGACUAGAGUGUAAUACACUGGUUCUAGAGUAGACUAGCACAUAAUACACUGGUUCUAGACUAGACUGGGACAUAAUACACUGGUUCUAGACUAGGCUAGCACGUAAUACACUGGUUCUAGACUAGCGUGUAAUACACAGGUUCUAGACUAGACUAGCAUGUAAUACACUGGUUCUAGACUAGAGUGUAAUACACUGGUUCUAGACUAGACUAGCACAUAAUACACUGGUUCUAGACUAGAGUGUAAUACACUGGUUCUAGACUAGACUAGCACAUAAUACACUGGUUUUAGACUAG
rnacentral:lncRNA from 1 species